UUCACUCCCAACCCCUGUGACAUACCUAUACGUUGCCUCGGCGGAUCAGCCCGCGCCCCGUAAAAAGGGACGGCCCGCCCGAGGACCCCUAAACUCUGUUUUUAGUGGAACUUCUGAGUAAAACAAACAAAUAAAUCAAAACUUUCAACAACGGAUCUCUUGGUUCUGGCAUCGAUGAAGAACGCAGCAAAAUGCGAUAAGUAAUGUGAAUUGCAGAAUUCAGUGAAUCAUCGAAUCUUUGAACGCACAUUGCGCCCGCCAGUAUUCUGGCGGGCAUGCCUGUUCGAGCGUCAUUUCAACCCUCAAGCUCAGCUUGGUGUUGGGACUCGCGGUAACCCGCGUUCCCCAAAUCGAUUGGCGGUCACGUCGAGCUUCCAUAGCGUAGUAAUCAUACACCUCGUUACUGGUAAUCGUCGCGGCCACGCCGUAAAACCCCAACUUCUGAAUGUUGACCUCGGAUCAGGUAGGAAUACCCGCUGAACUUAAGCAUAUCAAUAAGCGGAGGAAA
rnacentral:rRNA from 1 species